AAUGGCAAAUUUCAAAAUCUGAGUUGAGACCAUUCGGUAUAAGAGUAUUAAAAUUGAAAUGAAUGAAAUUUAUUUUUAAUUUUAAUACUCUUAUACCGAAUGGUCUCAACUCAGAUUUUGAAAUUUGCCAUUU